rnacentral:lncRNA from 1 species
UUGAUUUUCCAAUUUCUUCCCUGACCCAGUGACAGAAAAGGACUACAACCACACAGGACCAUGGAUGGCCCCAAUCUCAGGGGGUCUCUCUUCACACAGAGUCAGUGUUUCGAGCCCAGGCAUGAGAUGGACUUAGAAAGAUCUGUUGGAAGUCGGCAGGUGAAAUCAUUAACUCCUCACCAGAUCCCUCUAGCUGACUCUGUGCUGUUGGUCAACUGUCCUCCUUCCACCCCAGCAGAAGACAGGAGGCUCCGUCUCCAAAGACAAGGAAAUGGAAGGUAUUCAGAGUGGGGAUACCAAGCUCAGUUGAAGACAAAGAUAUCAUGCUGAAAACAUAAUGAUGAAGUGAGAAGUGACAUUCUUUAUGUUGAGACCACUGAACCUUCUUCCCCAUAGAGCUUCCAGAAUCCUGAUAUCCCAGCAGAAUAUUCAAAGUCUUCUCUAGGUCAUGUGAUUAGCCUAAGAGGAAAAUCCUUAAUCCAACAGCCUGAACAGCUAACCAUCCACAUACUCAAGCCCCUCCCACAAGUACAAAGUUCCAGUCAUCUUUUUACAGCUCAAAUAUUAAAUAUGAGCAGAUAAUAAUGGUCACCAGGCAUUUGAAGAAAUCUUCCUAUGUAAAAGAAAGGGGUCCAAUCCAACAAAGAGCAAAACACAAUAGAGUUAAUGACUACUGCCGGAAAAAUAAAAUGUCAAAGAUAGUCAUUGCUAUCCAAAGAAAGAUAAAACAUUCAUGACACAAGAAUAGGAAUUUACUUAAAAAAAAAAAAUAGUACAUAGAAUAUUCAGAGACUUAGGGGCACCUGGCUGGCUCAGUCAUUAAGCGUCUGCCUUCGGCUCAGGUCAUGAUUCCAGGGUCCUGGGAUUGAGUCCCGCAAUGGGCUCCCUGCUCAGUGGGGAGUCUGCUUCUCCUUCUCCCACUCCCCAUGCUGUGUUCCCUCU